UAUUUGUGAGCUACUCAUUAUAGUCGUUGUCGAUAUUAACUCCUGUGCAUGUUUGCUUCUGAAUCAAUCAUCUGCUCUCUACUACAUGUAAGUGAAAUUGCAGUUUGGAUUUCUGAUGUCUGGAUAUUAACUCUUGCAGGGUGUGUGAGAACAUCUCCAUUGUCCUCUGCAGUAACAAGGUUUCUGUGAAGAACUGGCAGGUUAAAGCCAAGAGCAACUACAACUAGGAGAAGCCCUUCCUUUACCUUGCAAGGAAGCUGGCUGGCACAAAGCUGAGCAUGCGGCGCGGUUACUGCCUGAUGACCAUGACAAUCUGAUCGGGUAGAUCAAUCAUGAGUUCUAUCAUACUUUGAGCCAAAUCUUCGUGCUUUUUUCUUUUAUUUGGUUAUACUGUGUAAAUAGGAAUCAAUAAUAAAAGUAGAUGGUACAAAGUUAAUAUAUAUCUUCAUUUGUCCAUUGGUCUUGCGAAGCAAGUUAAUAUAUAUCUUCAUUGGUCUUGCGAAGCAAGUUAAUAUA